UACAGAGGGGGCAAGCGUUGUUCGGAAUUACUGGGCGUAAAGGGCGCGUAGGCGGCCCGCUAAGUCGAACGUGAAAUCCCUGGGCUCAACCCAGGAACUGCGUCCGAUACUGGUGGGCUCGAAUCCGGGAGAGGGAUGUGGAAUUCCAGGUGUAGCGGUGAAAUGCGUAGAUAUCUGGAGGAACACCGGUGGCGAAGGCGACAUCCUGGACCGGUAUUGACGCUGAGGAGCGAAAGUGUGGGGAGCGAACAGG
rnacentral:rRNA from 1 species